rnacentral:rRNA from 1 species
GGCGUCCGAGUUGUAAUUUGUAGAGGAUGCUAUUGGGUUGCCACCGGUCUAAGUUCCUUGGAACAGGACGUCACAGAGGGUGAGAAUCCCGUAUGUGACCGGCCAGGCGCCUUCUGUAUAGCUCCUUCGACGAGUCGGGUUGUUUGGGAAUGCAGCCCUAAAUGGGAGGUAAAUUUCUUCUAAAGCUAAAUACCGGCCAGAGACCGAUAGCGCACAAGUAGAGUGAUCGAAAGAUGAAAAGCACUUUGGAAAGAGAGUUAAAAAGCACGUGAAAUUGUUGAAAGGGAAGCGCUUGCAAUCAGUCUCGACGGCGGCUGUUCGGCCUCUCUUCUGAGUGGUUUAUUCAGUCGCCGCCGGGCCAGCAUCAGUUUUGGCGGUUGGAUAAAGGCGUGGGGAAUGUAGCUCCUCCGGGAGUGUUAUAGCCCCGCGUGCAAUACGGCCCGCCGGGACUGAGGUCCGCGCUUCGGCUAGGAUGCUGGCGAAAUGGUUGUAAGCGGCCCGUCUUGAAACACGGACCAAGGAGUCUAACAUCUACGCGAGUGUUUGGGUGUCAAACCCGUGCGCGAAAUGAAAGUGAACGGAGGUGGGAACCGCAAGGUGCACCAUCGACCGAUCCUGAUGUCUUCGGAUGGAUUUGAGUAAGAGCGUAGCUGUUGGGACCCGAAAGAUGGUGAACUAUGCCUGAAUAGGGUGAAGCCAGAGGAAACUCUGGUGGAGGCUCGCAGCGGUUCUGACG